AACGUAGGGGGCAAGCGUUAUCCGGAUUUACUGGGCGUAAAGCGCGUGCAGGCGGCUUGGUAGGUUGGACGUGAAAGCUCUUGGCUCAACUGAGAGAGGCCGUUCAAUACCGCCAGGCUCGAGGGCGGAAGAGGGGAGUGGAAUUCCCGGUGUAGUGGUGGAAUGCGUAGAGAUCGGGAGGAACACCUGUGGCGAAAGCGACUCCCUGGUCCGUGCCUGACGAUAAGACGCGAAAGAGUGGGGAGCGAACGGG
rnacentral:rRNA from 1 species